CUAAAAUCAGCAUAUAACUGUCAUACUCUGCAUUAAAAUUACAUUUUACCACAUUUAUCCUCGGUGGAAUCCAUGAACAAUCAUUUUUUCGAACACCUGCUUCUGUCACUACUUCCAGUUGAAUGUUCUCUAUGUAAAAUGCCUUAAUAAAAGAUAUCAAUCUCGUUAUGCACUGCCUUUCUCAUUGAUGAUAAACUUUGUUUCUGUAAUGCCAUACUGCUCAUAAUGUGAUGACUUACCAUUUACACUGCACUUCUUUCAUAUUCAAAAAUAAAUUUGCUAACCACAUAUUCCAAUUUUGUUCCGGGCUACUGGAUGAGCCAUCAAUCCCCACUCUUUGCAGGACACAUUUAAUGAACGUGCAUUCCUAGAAGACAUGACUCAUUGAUUCCUCCAUUGUACGGCAGAGAGGACAAAGAUUCACAACCUGUAAAUUUCUAUCUUUUAAAUUGUUAAAAGUAGGGAGGAAGUUAUUGGCAAUUCUCUAAGAUGUAAUUUUGAUUUUGCUUGCAACCUGUAAUCUCUAUAAUUUGUUGUAAAAUUUCUGUAGUAGCGUAGGCUGAUGUAUCCUUUCCUCUAGCCCUAUUAUCGUAUCCUUCUGCAACAGCCAUUUGUAUCCACUUUUUUGCGGAAUAUACACCUGUUUUGUCACCCCUCCACACCUUUUUCAUCGUGAAUAUCCACUGCAGCAAGUGGGAUAGAAAGAAUUCUGGAUAUUUUCUCUUCCUCAAAAAGCUGUUGUAACACACCAAAUCUCCAGGUCUCGGGAUCCAAGCUUCAUUCCAAAUAUUAAUCGACUUUCCAUUCCUCACUCUCUAUCCCAUUCCUUCCUCCCAAAGUUUCCUCGCACUCCAGAUACUCCUUCAGGUAAACAAAGGGGAUUAAAUUGAAGGCAAAAGAAAAUUUAGGGGCAAAAAGCAUGAAAUUAAAGACAAAAUAGGUUAGCAUGAGAAACAGGGAAGAAGUGGUGCCUAAAAUACAAAGUAUGAAAGACUUGGGGCAAAAAUUCAAAGAAGAGAUUUAUGAACAUAAGACUUUAUAUAAAUUUGAAUUUUAUUUUUAGGAUUAUUGUUAGGAUUAUUAUGAUAUUGUUUAGACUUAAUUUCAAAUUAUAUCUUUUAUUAUCUUCUAGAAUUUAAAUAGGAACAAGCUAGGUUUUUUAUGUACUAUAAAUAAGAGAUGAAGUGACAUGAAUAUGGACUCAUCAUUUUCUGUAAAAAAAACUCCUUCCCCCUAAAGCUCUU